AAGAGGGUUAUCUCAGUUGGGCUGGUUUUCCGACAAAUUCUUAAUAUGCGAAGAGGUGAGGUGGAGAGGGAGAACGAAGAGAAGGGGUGGAGGAAGAAAUCACCGUUGCAAAUUGCAGGCUUGCAGCGGCAACGGUGAUUUUAUUGUCGAAAACACUGAACAAAUCACUAAAAAAAGAGUUUUAUGGGAGAGUUUCCGAAGAAAAGUUCACUAAGAAAAGUUUCCGAAUCAGCGAGUCCGUCGAGUGAGAUCGGGAGCUAACGGGAUCAUAUGCUAUGCUUUCCCAAAAAGAAUCCAGAUCUACAUCUACUACUGCUCCACCAGAUCUGUUCAGAACCGCUUAGAUCUACUACAACGACAAUUGAACUUCAUUACUCACAAAGAUGAUUCAGUUACUGUUCCUAUAUCUUUUUGCCGAAGGCAUUGCGGCAUUUCUUCCUAUGGUGAAGAUCAAGCCGCUGAGAGAGCUGGUAAUGAAGGGCUUCGCCAUCGCUCUCUGCUGCUGAUACUUAUCACCCAAGUCCUUCAAACAAUCUCCAACUUACCAACCAUCUUUCCACGAAGGUGCCAAUGCUGGAGGGGGUCGAUGUAGACGACGGUGGCGGAGCUGAACCCGACUCCAACGAUUCAUACUGUUAAUCGAAAAACGCCUCCACCCUUGCUCUGACUCUUUUUAAGGAUUUACAGACCCUUUCUCCAACCGGCACCUCCACCCUUGCUCCGACCCUUUGUCUCUAAACCAAAAGGUAAGAAAUUAUAGAAAGCGACACCUCCACCUUUGCCCAUCCUUCACCUCCGAUCAUCUCUCUUUUUUUCUCUUUCUCUCUCUCCACCUAUCCCUCUAUCUUCUUCUUCCCCUUAUUGGUUUCUGUAAUUAACUUGGAAACAAAGCACCACCACCAACAUUGAACUUUCCCUCUAUCUUCUUCUUCUUCCCCUUGUUGGUCUCUAUAAUUAGCUUGGAAGGGGUGACGCUAAAGCUUUGAGACAAGGUGAAGUCCAGGUGCUGCAAGAGGCUAUUUAUCUCAUCUGUCUUCUCAGGGAACAUGUCAUGAUGAUCAGGUUUUGGAGAAAGAUGGAGCUUUGGUGGUGUGUAGUAGCAACUAGCUGGAGCAGUACCUCGCCAUCCCUGCUAAUUCAACUACAAACGGUGGCACAAUUUACAAGUAUUGGAGAAUUGCCAAGUUAGUCUUCAAAAUCAUUCUGACCUCCAUCACCCUUCGAAAGAUAUUUGUGUUGGGUUGCCUGUUUUAUUUCGUUGAGUUCUUACAACGGAAGUCUAAUAUUUCCGACUUCCCUUGCAGUUAUCUUUUGUGCCCACCGGUUAUGUCCUUUAGUUGCAGCUAUCUUCUGUUUUCCAGCCCUUGCAAUUGAGUCUUAAGCCAGCAAGUGAUUUCAUCAUAUGCCCAGCCCGAUAUUACAAUACUCUCCAGCGGUAGAAUGAAUCAACGGAUUACUGGUUGUGUGUGUAACAGUUGGCAGAAUUCAAGUAGAAGGUUGGAGAAGAAACAGAGAAUGAUGUCUCAAAGAAGAGGUUAUGGUGUCAGAAUCCGAUAUAGUAGCUAUGAUACAAAAUAAGAUCCCUGCGGUUGCUGUUGUCGGAGGUUCCGAGGCAACCGAACCAAACCAAGAAAGUUAUAACACCAGCAACACCAACAAUGCAAGAUUCAUGGGUUUUAUUUUGAAAUUUUGAUAAAUAGUGAAGGGUAAAUUUGACAUUUCACUUCCUUCCGUUACCACUUGCUACAAUAACAAUUGUAAAAAAACUUAAGGGUACUGCAAUAUAAUAACUAAACAUUAAGGGUA